AUUCCUGGACUGUUUGUGAAUGGGCUUUUUAAAUUCUUCAAUGGCAUUCAAUGAUUCAAGGACGAAUUGAACAAGAAACUGGAAGAAGAAAGCAAGAAAACAAUUCAUUCAAUAUCCGAAACGCAAGAAUUGAUCCAGCAACUGACGGCCUACAUAUGUCAACAAAUGUUGGAGGAGACAACGACCAGAAUGGAGGAUCUUUGUAAUCAGUUGUCGAUUAAGAAUGAAAACAAUAGAAAUCUUGACAGGAAGACUCACAGAGCAGAAUACACAUUGGCUGGCCAAGAGACCUCUCUGCGAUUAAUAUGCUGAUUUGGAAAAACAAAUUUCUUAUCUCAAGUUUCAGUUGUCUGAAAAGGCUAUUGAACUCCAGUGCAAGGAAAAGAAGAUUGAGGAAACUGAGAAUGCCUUGAAAGACUUGUUGCUACAUUCUCAUAGCAAUGAACAGUUGGCCAUUGUCGAAGAAAGUAAUCGCGAACUUUAGGACAAAUUUGAUGAAAGGCCCAGGAAUUUGAAGCUGCUCUUGUUUGUCGAGAGAAUUCGCAGCGAUUAAAAGCCGAUCUCGAUAAGUCAAAGUCAAUAGAACUACAGUAGAGCGGAUGGAAGAAAUCGAUAGAGCCUUAGAUGAAUUGACACUAAAGUCUCUUAACACUGAGCGGAAUCCUGCCGAUCAGAAGUGGACAACUGGACAUGCCGAGACAAAAAGAAAAGUUGGAGAUAGACGCUUUGAAAACAUCCUUAAAUUAUAUGAAUUUAGAACUUGAGAGUAUCAGCGGUGAAUACGAAGAGUAGAUAAUGGCGUCAUCGGAAAGAAAGAUAGCCGAUCUCGAGUCAGCCUUCUGGAGCGAAGAUUGGAAACGGAACGUGAACAGGCUUCUUUCCCUAACCAACAACCUGUGAUAAAGGCUGCCGUGGAACCAGCACGUUCGCUUCGGCCCAUCUUGAAGCAAACAUUUUCUGAUGUCAAACAACAGGAACUGGCUUCACAAGAUGCAAGGAUACCGUUUUAACUAUAAAAAAAAGGUUAAUCAAGCCCCUCUGUGGCACCUUCGAGAUUUUAAAAGUCUCCUUUCGUUUUUUUUCUUGAUUAGGAAAU
rnacentral:lncRNA from 1 species